rnacentral:rRNA from 1 species
GAUGAACGCUGGCGGCGUGCCUAAUACAUGCAAGUCGAGCGAACAGACGAGGAGCUUGCUCCUCUGACGUUAGCGGCGGACGGGUGAGUAACACGUGGAUAACCUACCUAUAAGACUGGGAUAACUUCGGGAAACCGGAUCUAAUACCGGAUAAUAUAUUGAACCGCAUGGUUCAAUAGUGAAAGACGGUUUUGCUGUCACUUAUAGAUGGAUCCGCGCCGCAUUAGCUAGUUGGUAAGGUAACGGCCUACCAAGGCAACGAUGCGUAGCCGACCUGAGAGGGUGAUUGGCCAAACUGGAACCGAAAAACGGUCCCGACUCCUAAGGGAGGCAGCAGUAGGGAAACUUCCGCAAUGGGCGAAAGCCUGACGGAGCAAAGCCGCGGGAGUGAUGAAGGUCUUCGGAUCGUAAAACUCUGUUAUUAGGGAAGAACAAAUGUGUAAGUAACUAUGCACGUCUUGACGGUACCUAAUCAGAAAGCCACGGCUAACUACGUG